rnacentral:rRNA from 1 species
AACGAACGCUGGCAGCGUGGAUUAGGCAUGCAAGUCGAGCGGGAUCCUGGUUUAUAGCAAUAUAGGCCGGGUGAGAGCGGCGGAAGGGUGAGUAACGCGUGGGCAACUUGCCUCCAAGUUGGGGAUAACCCUUCGAAAGGAGGGCUAAUACCGGAUGUGCUCCCUUCACAUCAGUGAUUUGAGUAAAGAUAGCUUCGGCCUUCGCAUCUGGACGGGUCCGCGGCCCAUUAGCUUGUUGGUGGGGUAACGGCCUACCAAGGCUCCGAUGGGUAGCUGGUCUGAGAGGACGAUCAGCCACACUGGGACUGAGACACGGCCCAGACUCCUACGGGAGGCAGCAGUGGGGAAUCUUGCGCAAUGCGCGAAAGCGUGACGCAGCAACGCCGCGUGAGGGAAGACGGCCUUCGGGUUGUAAACCUCUUUCAGGAGGGACGAAGCUCGUCCGGUGAAUAGCCGGCGCGAGUGACGGUACCUCCAGAAGAAGCCCCGGCUAACUACGUGCCAGCCGCCGCAGUAACAC